rnacentral:tRNA from 1 species
GCCGAAGUGGUGAAAUUGGUAGACACGCCAGAUUCAGGGUCUGGUGGGAGCAAUCCUGUAGGGGUUCGAGUCCCCUCUUCGGCACCA